GGUUGUGCUGAUAUUGUCCACUUCUCCAUGGGAGAACUCUGUGCUUUCAACGUCCACUUCAAUCUCUUCUAGAAAGGGAAAUGAGAGAAACGCACACAGACCAAAAAUCACAACAAGCAUCUCAACUUUACCAUCACUUUCAAUACAAGAGAAAUCAGAUCAAGUUGACAGCAACAACAAUCCUUCCAGACUUAGAACUCAUGCAAAACACUAAACUCUCCAUAUGUAUGCGUAUGUAUGUGCCUGUGUGUGAGCAGAAUCAGCAGCCUAAACGUCCAAGGCCAUGAGAAGGGGAAGCUGAGAGGUAAGAAAUGGAUAAAUCUCAUUCUCUCACUUCAGAAUCCUGGCUAUUCCAUGCUGGUUCAGCAACACCCACCUCGCUCCGAGUCCGAGUGAUCCGAGGAAAUGGUAGAUCCAAUGCUGUCCAUUCGUAUUCGCUCUAUCUCCUGAGGACCCUGUAGUUGUUCCAGUCUUCUCUUUAGGAAUCUUUGUUCUCGUUCCAGGUUCUCAAGCUGGUGUUGGCUUCUCCUUUCAGCCUCUUCAAGUUUCUGACAUGAUCAAAUAAAACACAAUAAUUAGUUUUC